AGGAAGCUGACCUGCGAUCGACAGAAGGUCACUAUGUCUCAUCUGAAACAAUACCGGAGGUAAACUUAGGAAGUGAUGAUCCUUCGUCUCAAGGACACACAGAUCAAAGUAGCGUAAACAAACCGGCGGAGAGCAUAAAAAAAGUCCUUUAAUGUUUUAUUCAAGAAAAAAAAGGCAGGAA